UUUUUUGUUUUUUUGUUUUUUUUUUUUUUUCAGACAAAUAAUCUUGAUGAACUUGGGGAGAACACUAGGGUCAUAAGCUCAUGGCCCGCUUAAACACAUCUCCUCUCAGCCCAGUGCUAGAUACGAAAUUUCAUUGAAAUCCACGGCAUUCUCCACAUGACACCCAGAAGCCUGAAGGCACCCAGACCAGCCCUCUCACCAUCCCUCCUGCAGGUUUCUUUUUUUUUUUUUUUUCCUCCUGCAGGUUUCAAUGACAGUCCAAGGAGAAGGCAUGUACUACUAUCCCACCACAUCCAGGAUCAAGGAAGUGAGUUCUAGAAGGCAAAUACUUUAGUUUUGGUUUUUGCACUUUUGGGAAAAAAAAAUUAAGAUGAGGUAAGGUGACAAAAGCUAGAGUAGAACACUCAGAAUGUAAUUUGGUACUCGCUUUGGGGAAAAGAAACUGUAAGGUAUAUUAGCUCACACAUCAAUCAAGGAAUUCUACUUCUGGGAAUCUAGCCUUAGAUUUUUUUUUUCUAAAGAUUUUAUUAUUUGAGAGAGAGCGCACAAGCAGAGGAGUGGCAGAGGGAGAGGGAGCAGACUCCCUGCCAAACAAGGAGCCCGACACAGGUGUGGGGCUUGAUCCCAGACUCUGGGACCAUGACCCAAGCUGAAGGCAGAUGCUCAACUGACAGCCACCCAGGUGUCCCUAGCCUUAGAGUCUCAAGAACAAUCCAAAUCGCAUUAGAAUUACACUGGCAUUCACUACAGCACUGCUUGCAACAAUGAGGGGUAAUGCCUGAAAGGUACAAUAAAAGAAGAAUGGCUCAAUCAUUAUGUCCACUUGAUGUAAAAUGAUGCAUCUGUUAAGCGUAAAGAUUAUAACAACCACGUAAAAAUCCUUAAGACAUAAUAUUAAAAAGAUGUAAAAUAUAAACACUAUGAUUAUUAUUAUUAUUUUUUAACACUAUGAUUAUUAUAUGAGAAGUAUGCAGAGAAAAAAAUCUGAAGGAAAUAUGACAAAAUGCCAGUAACAGGUGAUCAGGGUUGUAGGAUUCUGGGUAAUUUCUUUUCCUGUUGUUUUCCCAAAUAUCCAAUAAUGCCUAUAUUCCCUUAAUUAUUUUUUUAAAAGAUUUUAUUUUAAAGAGAGACAUGAGAGACACAGAGAGAGAGAGGCAGAGACACAGGCAGAGGGAGAAGCAGGUUCCAUGCAGGGAGCCCAACAUGGGACUCGAUCCUGGGUCUCUAGGAUCACGUCCUGGACCGAAGGCAGCACUAAACUGCUGAGCCACCCGGGCUGCCCAUAUUUCCUUAAUUAAAAACAAAAACAAAACCCAAACAGGUUCAUAAGAACACCAUACAAUACAGGUUCGUGUGUAGAAGUGGAAAGAUAAGACAGGUUCAGGCUUUGUGGCAUGCCUAGCUUCAUCCAACAGGGGAAAUAAAGCCAACCCCAUAUCCUUCCUUCACUAGUCACACAGGUAGAAAGUACUGGGAAGCUAAGAAUGAUCAAAUUUGACCCCCUUUCAGAGCUGGUGUUUCUUGUCAUGAUGGGUGUGCACAUGCCCAUGUCCCUCUACCACUACUACCCCAGAGGUGCUCCAGCUGAGCAAAGGCGGGGUGUAGGGGUUGAGGGGAGGCAGCAAACCAUGGCACGGAGGGAACCAGGCAUCUUGAGAUCAAGACCUGGGCUGAAAUCAAGAGUCUGGCACAUAAUUGACUGGGCCACCCAGGUGCCCCUGAUCACCUAAGUCCUAAAGUGUCAACUGCAAGCCUUCAUUUCUUCCUUUCCACUUGGGAAUGACAUAGGUCUCCACUUACCUCAUAGGGUUGCUUGGGAGUCAAAUGGAAAAAUAUGGAUGCAUUUUGUGAACAGAAUAUUAUAUGAGGUCAGUGAAUACUGUUAAACAAGCAAGAGCUGAAGGAGCUUCUGCCUUUGGUGUCCUUUUGUGGAACAUCCCCAAGGAGCACUUCCUUAUGUCCCAUACAUUUAGA
rnacentral:lncRNA from 1 species